rnacentral:rRNA from 1 species
UACGUAGGGUGCGAGCGUUGUUCGGAUUUACUGGGCGUAAAGGGCGCGUAGGCGGCCACCGCAAGUCGACUGUGAAAUCUCCGGGCUUAACCCGGAAAGGUCAGCCGAUACUGCGGGGCUAGAGUGCAGAAGGGGCAACUGGAAUUCUCGGUGUAGCGGUGAAAUGCGUAGAUAUCGAGAGGAACACCUGCGGCGAAGGCGGGUCUCUGGGCAGUAACUGACGCUGAGGAGCGAAAGCGUGGGGAGCGAACAGG